rnacentral:rRNA from 1 species
AUUGAACGCUGGCGGCAGGCCUAACACAUGCAAGUCGAACGAGUGGCGGACGGGUGAGUAAUGUCUGGGAAACUGACCGAUGGAGGGGGAUAACUACUGGAAACGGUAGCUAAUCCCACAUCACAUCGGCUGUGCCCAGCUGGGCUUAUAUAGUAGGUGGGGUAAUGGCUCACCUAGGAGACGAUCCCUAGCUGGUCUGAGGGGAUGACCAGCCACACUGGAACUGAGACACGGUCCAGACUCCUACGGGAGGCAGCAGUGGGGAAUAUUGCACAAUGGGCGCAAGCCUGAUGCAGCCAUGCCGCGUGUAUGAAGAAGGCCUUCGGUUUGUAAAGUACUUUCAGCGAGGAGGCGUUACUCGCAGAAGAAGCACCGGCUAACUCCGUGCCAGCCGCCGCGGUAAUAC